CCUACGGGUGGCUGCAGUGGGGAAUAUUGCACAAUGGCGCAAGCCUGAUGCAGCCAUGCCGCGUGUGUGAAGAAGGCCUUCGGGUUGUAAAGCACUUUCAGCGGGGAGGAAGGCGGUGAGGUUAAUAACCUCAUCGAUUGACGUUACCCGCAGAAGAAGCACCGGCUAACUCCGUGCCAGCAGCCGCGGUAAUACGGAGGGUGCAAGCGUUAAUCGGAAUUACUGGGCGUAAAGCGCACGCAGGCGGUCUGUCAAGUCGGAUGUGAAAUCCCCGGGCUCAACCUGGGAACUGCAUUCGAAACUGGCAGGCUAGAGUCUUGUAGAGGGGGGUAGAAUUCCAGGUGUAGCGGUGAAAUGCGUAGAGAUCUGGAGGAAUACCGGUGGCGAAGGCGGCCCCCUGGACAAAGACUGACGCUCAGGUGCGAAAGCGUGGGGAGCAAACAGGAUUAGAUACCCCUGUAGUC
rnacentral:rRNA from 1 species